rnacentral:rRNA from 1 species
CCCUUAGAUGUUCUGGGCCGCACGCGCGCUACACUGAUGCAUUCAACGAGUCUAAAACCUGCUCUGAUAGGGGUGGGUAAUCUUUUGAAUGUGCAUCGUGAUUGGGAUAGAUGAUUGCAAUUUUUCAUCUUCAACGAGGAAUGCCUAGUAAACGCAAGUCAUCAGCUUGCAUUGAUUACGUCCCUGCCCUUUGUACACACCGCCCGUCGCUACUGCCGAUUGGAUGGUUUAGUGAGAUCCUCGGAUUGGUCCCGGAGCGGCCUCUGGUCGUGCCGGAGUGCCGAAAAGAAUGUCGAACUUGAUCAUCUAGAGGAAGUAAAAGUCGUAACA